GCAGCAGUGGGGAAUAUUGCGCAAUGGGCGGAAGCCUGACGCAGCGACGCCGCGUGGGGGAUGACGGCCUUCGGGUUGUAAACCUCUUUCGGCCUUGACGAAGCUCUUCGGGGUGACGGUAGGGGUAGAAGAAGCACCGGCCAACUACGUGCCAGCAGCCGCGGUAAUACGUAGGGUGCGAGCGUUGUCCGGAAUUAUUGGGCGUAAAGAGCUCGUAGGCGGUCUGUCGCGUCGGUCGUGAAAACUUGGGGCUUAACCCUGAGCUUGCGGUCGAUACGGGCAUGACUGGAGUUCGGCAGGGGAGACUGGAAUUCCUGGUGUAGCGGUGAAAUGCGCAGAUAUCAGGAGGAACACCGGUGGCGAAGGCGGGUCUCUGGGCCGAUACUGACGCUGAGGAGCGAAAGCGUGGGGAGCGAACAGGAUUAGAUACCCUGGUAGUCCACGCCGUAAACGGUGGGCGCUAGGUGUGGGGGCCAUUCCACGGUCUCUGUGCCGCAGCUAACGCAUUAAGCGCCCCGCCUGGGGA
rnacentral:rRNA from 1 species